ACUACAGUGUAAAUACGACAGUGGCAGGUAUAACUACAGUGUAAAUACGACAGUGGCAGGUAUAACUACAGUGUAAAUACGACAGUGGCAGGUAUAACUACAGUGUAAAUACGACAGUGGCAGGUAUAACUACAGUGUAAAUACGACAGUGGCAGGUAUAACUACAGUGGCAGGUAUAACUACAGUGUAAAUACGACAGUGGCAGGUAUAACUACAGUGUAAAUACGACAGUGGCAGGUAUAACUACAGUGUAAAUACGACAGUGGCAGGUAUAACUACAGUGUAAAUACGACAGUGGCAGGUAUAACUACAGUGUAAAUACGACAGUGGCAGGUAUAACUACAGUGGCAGGUAUAACUACAGUGUAAAUACGACAGUGGCAGGUAUAACUACAGUGUAAAUACGACAGUGGCAGGUAUAACUACAGUGUAAAUACGACAGUGGCAGGUAUAACUACAGUGGCAGGUAUAACUACAGUGUAAAUACGACAGUGGCAGGUAUAACUACAGUGUAAAUACGACAGUGGCAGGUAUAACUACAGUGUAAAUACGACAGUGGCAGGUAUAACUACAGUGUAAAUACGACAGUGGCAGGUAUAACUACAGUGUAAAGACG